rnacentral:tRNA from 1 species
CAAAAAAUAGUUUAAGAAAAACACUAACAUUGGAAGUUAGAAAUUAAGAAUAAACCUCUUAUCUUUUGA